rnacentral:tRNA from 1 species
AAUUAGAAUCUAAUUAACUAAAAAAUAAUUUUCAUUAAUUUUAUUAC